rnacentral:lncRNA from 1 species
GGAUUUUCAGGGCUGAGAGGGUCCAGAAUGCAUUUCCACACUGACUGCAGUCAAAGGGCUUCUCUUUGAGGAAAUUAUAUUGAGAAAUCCAGAUGUGCAGUUGUGCAAGAGCAAGCUGGUGUGGAUUUUUGAAUGGAUAUUCUGAAGACAACUAGGUGCAUGUCCCAGCAAAGCUUCGCAAAGAUGUCAGUAUUAAUUGUCACCAUCCUCCAGGGAGAAAGCAACAGCCCACAAUUGCCUGCAUUUUCUUUCCUCUUCAAAACCACUUCUGCUCCAAAGACCAUGAACCUGAACUGAAGAAACGACUCCUUCCUGCUGGUGUGAGAUAAUUCAGUCUCCAUGAUGUCUUAAUCCUGGGCCUCCCUUAAUUGACUUCUAACUGUGCUGAACUGUGGCUGCUAGGAGUUGCAAUGUGGAUCGCAAUUUACAAGGAAGAGAAAAAGACCGGUCUCUGUUUGGAAAUUACAAACAUAGAAGAACUUAGAAACAAUGGGUUUCUAGAUUGGGUGGAAGGACUGGCUUGGGAUCCUGAGAGAGCAAGAAAAGUUUACCGGGAGCUUCAGAAAAAGUUAUUCAUCAUUUUUGGAGUGGAUAUUCAGAAGUGACUUCCCUCUUUUGCUCUGGUGCCUGGCUACUUCAAGAGUUGAGCUAAUCACAGGGAAGAUUCAGUCUCAGUUCAGCUGCCUCAUUUGAUCAGCUCAAGACUGAGUCCAACAAAAGUGGUCUGUCUAAUGAAACUCAUUUUCAUUUUUUCUCAUUAGUCUAUACACGAUUGAGACUGUAGAACGACAAAAGAAUAAAAAGAAGAAUGACAAUUAAAAAUCAUUUUCUCUGGCCCUUGAUUUUUGCCUUCUUUUUUUUAAAUGUAGUUACGUGCUCAUUUUUUGUUUCUUUUUUAUUCUCUGCUCUUCUUUUCUAUUGAUUUUCCCAUUUAUGAAGGGGGAAUUAGUAAAUCCAUGGUCUGAGUGCUGAGAUGUUCUGAUAGGCCUUCAAGUUUUCAGCUGUACUCUGAAUCAGAAUAAUAUACUCCAUCAAGGAGACUGACAUUGGCACCACCUUCCCAGAAAUCCAGGAGCGCCUUUGCAUGAGGAAAAGCAGAAGGGAGUAAAGUCAUGAAACAUUGUGUGUGUGUUUGUAUAAAACUGUAUAUUUUUGCUCACAUAUAAUAACUAUAUAUUUCUGCUAAUUUUUCCUUUUAAAGGCUAUUAAGUUACUUAAAAUCCAUUGCCUAAUAAAACUGCAAUUCACCUUUGUAAUUCACUCAUUUGUUUGCUGUCACAGGGAAGAUAGAAAUUGAGCACGUUUUCGGCUGGGUGUGGUGGCUCACGCCUGUAAUCCUAGCACUUGGGGAGGCCGAGGUGGGCGGAUCACGAGGUCAGGAGAUCGAGACCAUCCUGGCUAACAUGGUGAAACCUCGUCUCCACUA